GCUUUACCAUGUUGGCCAGGCUGGUCUCGAACCCCUGACCUCAGGUGAUCCGCCUGCCUUGGCCUCCCAAAGUGCUGGGAUUACAGGCAUGAGCCACCAGGUCUGGCCCCCCUAUUGUCAUUUUUAUUAGAAGUUUAUUUCUCUUCAUAUGAGUAAAGUUUUAUUAAAGCAGCUUAACUAUAAAUAUAUAAAAAUUUUAAAGACAAGAAACAUGACUAAUGAGGUAAACAUCAAUGGCUGAAAAGUUGGAAAAUUAGGUGUGUGUGUGUGUGUGUGUGUGUGUGUAAAUUUAGGCUUCCAGUAAUCAUAAGCAUUACUGUAAUUUUCACCCUAAGUGAACCACUUUAAAAUGUGUGCCUUUCUUGAGUAACCAUUGUAAAUAUUAAUUGGACAUUCACAGACUGUAAAGGUUUAAAACUAAUGACUGGAUGUUAUGGCAAACAGUGUGGAGCUUCCUCAAAAAAUUAACAAUAGUACUGAUCUAGCAGGCUUGCUACUGAGCAUAUAUCCGAAGGACAUGAAGUCAGUAUGUCAAUGACAUAUCUUACUUCCACGUUCAUUUGAGCAUUAUUCACAAUAGCCAAGAUAUGGUGUAUCUAUACCACAUUUUCUUGAUCCAUCUAUCAAUAGAUGAAUAGAUGAAGAAAAUGUGGUAUAGAUACACCAUGGAAUACUAUUCAACCUUAAAAAAGAAGGAAAUCCUGUCAUUUGUGAAAACAUUGAUGAAUCUGGAGGACAUUAUGCGAAGUGAAAUAAGCCAGGCACAGAAAGACAAAUACUGUAUGAUCCCAUUUAUAAGUGGAAUAAAAAAAAAAACAAACUCGGCUGGGUGCAGUGGCUCAUGCCUGUAAUCCCAGCACUUUGGGAGGCCGAGGUGGGCCGAUCACUUGAGGUCAGGAGUUUGAGACUAGCCGGGCCAACAUGGUGAAACCCCAUCUCUGCUAAAAAUACAAAAGUUAGCUGGGCGUGGUGGUGGGCGCCUGUAGUCCCCAGCUACUUGGGAGGCUGAGGCAGGAGAAUUGCUUGAACCUGGGAGGUGGAGGUUGCACUGAACCAGGAUCACACUACUGCACUCCAGCCUGGGCGACAGAGCAAGAUUCCAUCUCAAAAAGAAAGAAACAAAUAAUAAAUAAAUAAUGUAUAUUAUGGAUGUGUACCCAUAUGAAGGCAUCUGGAUUUUUCCAACCCCAUCCUUUUAAAAAGCUUUGUAUAAUUUUAGUAUGGGUGUACAAGUCCUAUAUGGAUGGACAUUUAGGUUGUUUACAGUUUUUUAAUAUUUAACAAUGUUUGAUGACCAUUUUUGUGCAAACAUCUUUGUACAUUGCCUGAUUAUUUCUUUAGAAUACAUUCUAAAGAAGUUAUUAGGUUAAAUGUUAAGCAUAUUUUAUGCAUUGAUGUUUCUGGUUAGAAAGCUGAUAGAAUUUGUACUUGCUUCUACAUUAUAUGAGAAUGUCCAUUUCAUUACAACAUUCUCAACACUGGAAAAAAUCUUCAUGUUGUCAAUUGGUGGUGAAAAAUGAUAAAACAUCAUUCUUUUAGUUGCAUUUCUUGAUUAUUAGCAGGACUGACCAUCUUUCCCUCAGUUUAUGAGAAUUUGGAAAUUGCCUAUUGUGUCUUUGUGCAUUUUUCUAGUGGGAUGUUCGCCUUUUUGGUUUUUAAUUUUUUUUUUUUUUUGAGACGGAGUCUCGCUCUGUCACCCAGGCUGGAGUGCAGUGGCACGAUCUCAGCUCACUGCGACCUCCACCACCCAGGUUCAAGAGAUUCUCCUGCCUCAGCCUCCCAAGUAGCUGGGACUACAGUUGCAUGCGACCAUGCCUGGCUAAUUUUUUAGUAGAGACGGGAUUUCACCAUGUUAGCCAGGAUGGUCUUGAUCUCCUGACCUCAUGAUCCGCCCACCUUGGCCUCUCAAAGUGCUGGGAUUAUAGGCGUGAGUCACCAUGCCUGGCCGGUUUUUAAUUUUUAAAUUGACAAACAAACAUUGUACAUAUUUAUCAUGUAUAUGCUUUGAAAUAUGUUGUUUGCCUUUUUCUAAUUGGUCUUUGAAAUUAUUUUGCUCCCAAUAUCCUACAACUUGUUUAUGUGUUCCACAGAUAUGAGUGCCAGGUACCAUGAUAGGUUCUUAGAAUAAAAUGAUGAGAAAGAGAGUCACAGACCCUACCUUCAUGGGCUAGGCAAAUUGGUAAGGAGUUACAACAAAGUGGGAUCGGUGCUUUACCUAUGGAAGUUCACCAUUCUAGAGAGUUCAAAAAUGUGGCAAAUACACACUCUGGGAGGUCAGUAGAGUCUUCCACCAGGAAGUGACAUUUCCCUGGGUUCUAAAGGAUGAGCAUAGUGGCCAGUUAAAGUAGGAGUGGUAGGAGCCAAGAGGGUUCCAGUCAGAAAUGAGGCUAAAGGGAUUAGAGAGAAUUCUUGACUGGUGAAUUGAAAACACUGAAGACUGCAAAAUAGAAAAGUGCUGGGAGAUGAGCUUGGAUAAGUAAAAAAGGAACAGAUUAUUAAGAGUUUAAGGGGACAGGCAUGGUGGCUCACGCCUGUAAUUCUAGCACUUUGGGAGGCCAAGGCUGGCGGAUCACUUGAGGUCAGGAGUUCAAGACCAGCCUGGCCAACAUGGUGAAACCCCGUCUCUACCAAAAAUACAAAAAGUUUGCCAGGCGUGGUGGCACGCACCUGUAAUCCCAGCUAUUUAGGAGGCUGAGGCACAAGAAUCGCUUGAACCCAGGAGACAGAGGUUGCAGUGAACCAAGAUUACACUACUGUACUCCAGCCUAGGCAACAGAAUGAGACUCUAUUUCCAAAAAAAUAAAAUAAAAUAAAAUAGUGACUUAAACAAGCAGAACUCUGAAAAAUUUUACACAAUGAGAAGUGUGGUACCUGGAUUGGUUCACCUUUUCAUCUUUUCACUCUGCCAUUCUCAAUUGUAUGAUACCUCUUUUUCUGGUCCUGUGAUAUCUUCCCUUAUAGUCUCACAAUAGCUGCGGCAAUUCUAAGCAUCGUUCCCUCACACAAUCAUGCUCAGUGGCUUGGAAAAAAUAGGCCUUGUCUCUGUUAAAGAGGAAAGUUUUUUCCAGAAGCUUCUACAAGAAUUCUCCAUCUCUCAUUGGCCAGAACCUGAUCACAGGGGCCAAGCUGCGCUGACUGCUGGGAAGGUGAGCAUCUGAUAGUUCAUUAUCUGUGGUGGGAGGCACUUCUAUCUGUAGGGAAGAGUGAUAACCUUGGGGUAGGAAACCAGCAAUGUUGUUCUCUGCAUUUGGAAAGUUUUGAGCAAACAAAUGAUGUGAUCAGGCUUAUAUUUAAUUCUGUAUUCUUCCAGGUCUUCUUCCUCCUUUCACAUUACUCUCCACCACCUCCUUCCUCUACUCUCAACCACCACUUUUUCACCUAGUUCUCCCACCUUUUGAAAAAAAAAAAUUUUUUUUAGAGAAGAGGUCUUGCUAUGUUGCCCAGGUUGGUCUUGAACUCCUGGAUGCAAGCAAUCUUUCCACUUCGGCCUCCUGAGUAGCUGGAAUUACAGGCAUGAGCCACCAUGCCUGGUUCCUUUUUUUUUUUUUUUUUUUUUUUUUUGUGAUGGAGUCUCACUCUGUCGCCCAGGCUGGAGUGCAGUGGCGUGAUCUCGGUUCACUACAACUUCUGCCUCCUGGCUUCAACCAAUUCUCCUGCCUCAGCCCCCUGAGCAUCUGCGACCACAGGCACGCGCCACCACAUCCAGCUAAUUUUUGUAUUUUUAAUGGAGAUGGGGUUUCACCAUGUUGGCCAGGCUGGUCUUGAACUCCUCACCUCAGGUGAUCCGCCCACCUUGGCCUCCCAUCUAAUUUUUGUAUUUUCAGUAGAGACAGGUUUCACCAUACUGGCCAGGCUGGUCUCAAACUCCUGACCUCAAGUGAUUCACUUGCCUCAGCCUCCCAAAGUGCUAGAAUUACAGGCAUGAACCCCAGCACCCAGCCUGCCCUAAAUACUUUAGAAAGUGCCUGACUUGAUUUUUAAAAAUGUCCUAAAACAACUAAUAUUUUGGGUUACAAGGAUGCUCAGAUAUGCUUGGUAUUGCCACUGGUAUGUUAACCAAGACUUACUUAAUUUCCACUAUUAACAUAAAUAAUGAUACAGUCACUUAGAUUGUGUGCCUUGCCUAACACUUUAUUGGUAAAUGUUUGUAGAAUGAAUAGCUUUUAAAUAAAUAAGUCUCCAAUCCACAUCGUUCACUUUUAAAGACUAAAAAGUGACAUAGUCACAUCUGACACACCCAUUAUGUCUACUUGUGCCAUAUUAAAAACAUGUGAAAACCGUGGCAGGCUGACUUGGCUAGAUGAUCCUUUUUUUUCAAACCAUGAUGCAAAUCUGCUAAAUUUCUUUCAAGUUUGAUGGCCACAUCAGUUAAGCAUCCUAGAAAAUGUUUUUUGAAAAUGCAUUAUUUGUUCUGAAGCCGUCUGGAACUUAUUUUAUGAGUGCUGAUUUGGACUUCUAGCUGACCAGAGAUAAUCAGACUUGCUGUCACACAUUCUGCGCUAUAACUUGGUCUGAUUUUACCAGUUUUCCUUGCAUCCUGAAUGUCAGUCUAAACUCAACAGCAGCUAGUCAACAAAAGUUGUGGAGUACGUAUUUGGAGAUUAUGGAAGAAGGUUUGUGCUUCAGCUCAUGUAACAUAAUUAAUAACAAACUUUUUUUUUUUGAGACAGGGUCUCUGUUCCUAGGCUGGAGUGCUGUGAUGUGAUUUCGGCUCACUGCAGCCUUGACCUCCCAGGCACUGAUCCUCCCAUGUCAGCCUCUCAAGCAGUUGGGACUAUAGGUGCACACCACCAUGCCCACUCAUUUUUGUAUUUUUAGUACAGACAAGGUUUCUCCAUGUUCCCAAGGCUGGUCUCGAACUCCUGGGCUCAAGCAAUCCACCCACCUCGGACUCCCAAAGUGCUGGGAUGAUAGAAGCUGGAGUGCAAUGGCCCGAUCUUGGCUCACUGCAACCUCUGCCUCCCGGGUUCAAGCAAUUCUCCUGCCUCAGCCUCCUGAGUAGCUGGGAUUACAGGCGCCCGCCACCACGCCCAGGUAAUUUUUGUAUUUUUUAGUAGUGAUGGGGUUUUGCCAUGUUGGCCAGGCUGGUCUUGAACUCCUGACCUCAGGUGAUCCACCCACCUCGGCCUUCCAAAGUGCUGGGAUUACAGGCGUUAGCCGAUGCGCCUGGACUUGUUUUUUUAAUUUUUUAAGGUGGAGUCUCACUUUGUCACCCAGGCUGGAGUGUAGUGGCUUGAUCUUGGCUCACUGCAACCUCUGCCUCCUGGGCUCAAGUGAUUCUCCUACCUCAGUGUCCCGAGUAGCUGGGAUUACAGGCACCUGCCACCACGCCCAGCUAAUUUUUUGUAUUUUCAGUAGAGAAGGGGUUUCACCAAGUUGACCAGGCUGGUCUUGAACUUCUGACCUCAAGUGAUCCACCCAUUUCAGCCUUUCAAAGUGCUGGGAUUACAGGCGUGAGCCACCAUGCCUGGCCUAAGCACCUGUUGAUACUUCAAUGAAAGUUAAAUGUUUUAGAAACAAGUUACAUAUGAGUACUUUAUGCUAGCGAUUAUUGAAUGAAUGAGUUUUUGUGCCAUACAUGAUAAGAUAUGAACAAUGGUUUGAGAUCAUGGAGUUACAGAUUAAUGUUAGUUCAUGGUUCUUUUGAGUGAGCCUGGAGUCAGGGAAAUUGCAGGGAAUUUAGAGAUAAGAUAUUCAUGUGGAGUCUAAGCUCUGCCACUUGUAUCAUCUUUGGGAAGGGCAUUUCACCUUGCUUAGAUGUGGUUUCCUUAUUUGUAAAAUUGAACUAGUGACUAUGGCUCUUACCUCCUCUCUGAGCUGCUAUCAAGACCAUAUGAGAGAGUACGCCUGUUAUUUUCAACAGAAGUACAGUAGUCACUCCUAUCCAUGGGGGAUACAUUCCAAGACCCCAAGUAUCUAGUAGCCUGAAACCUCAGAUAUAGUACUAAAUCCUAUAUAUAGUUUGUUUUUUCCUAUACAUAUAUACCUAUGAUAAAGUUUAAUUUAUAAAUUAGGCACAAGAGGUUAACAAUAACUAAUAAUAAAAUAGGACAAUUAUAACAAUAUACGGUAAUAAAAGUUAUGUGACUGUGGUCUCUCUCAAAAUAUUUUAUUGUAUUAUACUUACCUAUUUUACAACUGUGGUUGACUACAAGUAACUGAAACCAUGGGUAGCAAAGCCACUGAUAAGGGAAUACUAUUGUUCAAUCUUGACUUAGUACAUACAUUGUCAAGUUUUAUCUUUUUGAGAUGGAGUUUCACUUUUGUUGCCCAGGCUGGAGUGCAAUGGCGCGAUCUCGGCUCAGUGCAAUCUCCACCUCCCGGGUUCAAGCGAUUCUCCUGCCUCAGCCUCCCAAGUACCUGGGAUUACAGGCAUGCGCCACCAUGCCCGCCUAAUUUUUUAUUUUUUUAUUUUUUAGUAGAGACGGGGUUUCACCAUGCUGGCCAGGCUGGCCUUGAACUUCUGACCUCAGGUGAUUCACCCGCCUUGGCCUCCCAAAGUGCUAGGAUUACGAGCGUGAGCCGCCACACCCGGCCAUACAUUGUCAAUUUGUAAGCUCCUUGACUGAUAUGUUUGCACAUGACUCACCACAUGAAAUAAACUUACCAUAAGCAAUGUCUCUAUAGUAUACUGUGCAAUUAUAAAAUAGAGUCUGUUUCUCUCCAGAUUAACUCAGCUAAGGGCAUGACAUAGUUUCUUCUAUCUUUAUGAUGAGACACAGAGUUCCUAUUAAAAAGCAUAUCUUUUAUUUGAAAAGGUUGAGGAUGAUUCUUAAGAAAAAAAAGUGCCAUAUGGAUAAAUAUAGGUACUAAAACCCAUUCUAAUAAUACCCUCUGGCUCUGGGCCCACAGUGCUAUACUUUUAUUAGAGUUUGAACUGCAAGUGAUUUCAUCCACUUUAAACUCUUGCUUUCCACCUAUAGUUGUUUAUGAGAUGGUGGCAAUAAUCACACUGACCUUAGUAGACCUGCCUCCUUUCCUGAUUGAUCUAUUUCUGUUAUAUUUUUGCUAAUUAAUAAAAAUUUUACUUCCUGAAAUAUUUUUCAUUAAAGGCCUGUAAAAGAAAUACUGAUAUUUCACAGCCAUGGUUGCCUUCUUUUUCUACUUUAGUUUAAAGACGUUUCUUUCAUCCUUCUGCCACAAGGAAGAGAUUAAGCAUUCUGUCCUAUUUCUGCAUCUGACUAUAAAUCAAGCACUCUUCUGGUUUUCCUCUGCCUGUAUUUUGUUUCUUUUUACUUUUUAGUUUGAAAUAAUUUCAAAUUUACAGAAAAAUCGCAAGAAUAGUUCAGGGAACUCCCAUUUCCUGUUUGUCCAGCGACAACAUCAAGUUUUGCUAUCUUGGUGCUGUCCUUAAUAGCAAAAGGAUCUAAUCCAGGGCCACACAUUGUACUUAGUUGUUGCGUCUCUGUGGUUUCCUUCCAUCCAGAAUAAUUGCUCAGUGAUUUUGUAGACUAUCUCUCAGUUGAGUUUGUCUGAUGUUUCCUUCCUCAUGAUUAGAUUAAGCUAUGCAUUUUUUUUUCUUUUCUGUUCUUUCUUUUCUUCACAGACAGGAUCUCACUCUGUCACCCAAGAUGGAGUGCAGUGGCAUGAUCAUAGCUCACUGCAGCCUCAAACUCUUGGGCUCAAGCAUCCUCCUGCUUCAGCAUGGAGCACCACCAUGCCCAACUAAUUUUUAAAAAAAUGUUUAAAAUAUUUUUUAAGCAUUUAAAAAAAUAUUUAUGUAGAGAUGGGGUCUCACCGUGUUUCCCAGGCUGGUCUCAAGCUCCUGGCCUCAAGCAAUCCUGGUCUCAAGCUCCUGGCCUCAAGAAAUCCUGGUCUCAAGCUCCUGGUCUCAAGCAAUCCUGGCCUCAAGCUCCUGGUCUCAAGCUCCUGGCCUCAAGCAAUCCUCCCUCCUUGGCCUCCCUCCUUGGCCUCCCAAAGUGCUGGGAUUAUAGGUGUGAGCCAUAGCACCCAGUCAAGGCUAUGCAUUUUUGGUGAGGAUAUCACAGUCAUGGUGAGAGCUUUUCUGCCUGCAUUCCCCUUAGGUAGUACAAAAUAUUAGUUUGUCCCAAAAUGAGGUUAAUAGUGUCUGAUGGCAAAGCUACUCUUUUUUUCUGAGACAGAGUUUCACUCUUGUUGCCCAGGUUGGAGUGCAAUGGCAUGAUCUCUGCUCACUGCAACCUCCGCCUUCUGGGUUCAAGCGAUUCUCCUGCCUCAGCCUCCUGAUUACAGGCGCCCACCACUAUGCCCGGCUAAUUUUUGUAUUUUUAAUAGAGAUGGAGUUUCACCAUGUUGGCCAGGCUGGUCUCAAACUCCUGAACUCAAGCGAUCUGCCCGCCUCUGCUUCCCAAAGUGCUGGGAUUACAUGCGUGAGCCACUGCGCAUAGCUCACAUCCUCAUCUUGAAGCAGAGGCUUGGCCAUGCUAAUGGAACUUGGCAGUGGGUCUGUGUCUGUCCCUCAGAUCACAUGGGCCACACCAGCUUGGAGGUCCUAUGUGUAGGAGGAAACCCCACCUAUAGCAGAGGGCUGGAAGCAGUGUGAGUAAUAUUGGAAAGGUUCUUAGCAUCGUCAGUAAAAUGAACCACCUUUGAUGGGUCUCUACCUCUUGGUGGUAAAGUUCUCUAAUUUGUUUUCACUUUAUUUAGCUUUUCAUCUGCUCCCCGAUUUUUAAAAAUUAGAAUACACUACAUUUCUAGUCAGAAAAAAAAUAGUUUUCAUUUUGAAAUUGAAGAAUGUUUUGAGAAUGCUCAAAACUCAGUAAUAAGAGAACAACUUGAUUUCAAGAUGGGCUUAAGAUUUGACAGAUACUUCAGCAAAGAAGAUAUAUGAGUAGCAAUUAAACACAUGAAAAAAUGAUCAACAUAAUUCAUCAUUGGGGAGAUGCUAAUUAAAACCACAAUAGAUAACACUACACACUUGUCAGAAUGGCUAAAAUUUAAAAAACAAAUACCAAGGACUGAUAAGAAUGUGGGACAACUGGAACACUCUUACAUUGCUUUUUGGAAAGCAGCUUGACAAUGUCUUAUAAAUGUGUCAUUUGACCAAGCAAUCCCACUUCUGGGUAUUUACCCAAGUGAAAUAAAAACUUAUCAUUAUUCACACAAAAACCUGUAUGGAAUGUUUGUAAUAACCUUAUGUAUAACCUCCAAAGACUGGAAACAACCAUCAUGUCUUCCAUCUGGUGAAUGAAUACAUGUAGUACAUGGCAUAUCCAUGCAAUAAAAUACUGAUAUGCUUGGGGUGUGGGGUGUGUGUGAUUUAUAUAUUCCCUAGCUCUUCCACUAUGAGGCUCCAUAACAAUGAGCAUGCCUAAUGCCCAGAUCUUGGUAUCUAAGUACCAUUCUCCACUAAAAGGGCUCUUUGUAGAAAUGGCUGGUUCCAGGUCUGGGGCAUGGAAAGCACAAGAUGAGUUUGCAACGUCUUGUUGUACCAGAUAAGGAAGUGCUCAUAGACUGACUGGCUAUAUCAACAUGGAUGAGACUCUAAUGCAUUUUGGUAAGUGGAAGGUGCCAGACUCAAAAAAAACUAAGAGGCUACAUAGUGAACGAUUCUGUUUACAUGAUACCCUGGAAUAAAGAUCAGUGGUUAUGAGGGGAUAGUAGUGAAGGUGGAGGGGCUGAAUACCAAGGAGGAUACCAAGGAAUUUUGG
rnacentral:lncRNA from 1 species